rnacentral:rRNA from 1 species
GAUGAACGCUGGCGGCGUGCCUAAUACAUGCAAGUCGAGCGAACAGAUAAGGAGCUUGCUCCUUUGACGUUAGCGGCGGACGGGUGAGUAACACGUGGGUAACCUACCUAUAAGACUGGGAUAACUUCGGGAAACCGGAGCUAAUACCGGAUAACAUUUGGAACCGCAUGGUUCUAAAGUGAAAGAUGGUUUUGCUAUCACUUAUAGAUGGACCCGCGCCGUAUUAGCUAGUUGGUAAGGUAACGGCUUACCAAGGCGACGAUACGUAGCCGACCUGAGAGGGUGAUAGGCCACACUGGAACUGAGACACGGUCCAGACUCCUGCGGGAGGCACCAGUAGGGAAUCUUCCGCAAUGGGCGAAAGCCUGACGGAGCAACGCCGCGUCAGUGAUGAAGGGUUUCGGCUCGUAAAACUCUGUUAUUAGGGAAGAACAAAUGUGUAAGUAACUGUGCACGUCUUGACGGUACCUAAUCAGAAAGCCACGGCUAACUACGUG